UGGCGGUCGUCCUACGAUCCGGUGUCGGUGUCGUCGAGGAAACCAGCAACUUCUGGAGGAGUGCUGUUACCUCAGCGAUAGACUGCAAAAAGCCAUAAGCUUUUUAAGGGUCCGGACGCGAAGAGCAAUCCGUGGAGCGGCUUCAGCGGGUAUCCGGCCUUGCGAGCAAGACGAAGCCGAAGAAGCACUGGGCGGGUAUAGAAUAGCAGCCUAGGCUAUCGCUCAAUUUAUUUGAUUUAUUUUUUUAUUGGGAUUGGAGAAUAUUUCUGCUACAAUCCUCUUUAAACAACUCGUAUUGAAUUUAAAUUUGACUGCUUUUCUCUCGGUUCGCUCGAAUGGUAAAAUUCACUGCACUAUUUGAAACACACUUGGGGUUGUUUAAUCGUCGGGCAAAUACGUUGUGGAUUCUAAUUGAAAGUCGCAUCCACCAAAGCGCAGCACUGCACAACCAACAAACACACAAGCACGUAAAAAUCCUGCGGAGCGACAGACGCGUUCUACGUUAGCGAAUGCCAGAUGCAGACUGUAUGCUAUGCUGAAGAGCGCAACGACAGAGUGCUGCUAUGGUAGAAGCGUCUACUAGAAGCCGUGGUGGGGGGAUGGACGGUGUUACGUUAGAUAUCCCAAAGUAAAAUCUACAUGCAAACUAUGUAACGCUCUCUACGGCAAUCUACCCUCGAAUGGGCAACACCCGGCUUGUGCUUUAAUAUAAGGGUCGGACAGCUGCUCGCCGGCUGCUUUGGGGGUUGAAAAUAAUGGAAAAAGGUUGAAAGAUUGAUAACACUGGCAUAUGUGGUCCAGGGUAUAAAUUGACCAACGUCAAGCAGAUGACGGGGUUUGCGGGGAAAAGCUGCAAACGACAUUCGGUCAAUAAGGGACGAUAAGGGCGGCGAUAAGGAAGGACUUAAUUGCCAUAGGCAUAGCACGCGCGACGACAACGGAGAGUUUGAC